rnacentral:rRNA from 1 species
UACGUAGGGGGCAAGCGUUGUCCGGAAUCAUUGGGCGUAAAGCGCGCGUAGGCGGCCCGGUAAGUCCGCUGUGAAAGUCGGGGGCUCAACCCUCGGAUGCCGGUGGAUACUGUCGGACUAGAGUACGGAAGAGGCGAGUGGAAUUCCUGGUGUAGCGGUGAAAUGCGCAGAUAUCAGGAGGAACACCGAUUGCGAAGGCAGCUCGCUGGGACGUUACUGACGCUGAGACGCGAAAGCGUGGGGAGCAAACAGG